rnacentral:misc_RNA from 1 species
GUGGAAUUAUAAGCUAUUUGAUGAUUUUUUGAAGCUUGCUGGAGAUUUUGAUGGGGUUUUAACGGUGGAGAUUGUGAAUUUUUUUUUAUUAUUAUUUUUUCUUGUUUAAAGUCUUUAAAGUGAGGUCAUUGUUGAAGUUUUGAUCAAUGUUAAUUUUCCCUUUACCAAUUAUUGUGUUUGUCCACUGUUUGGUAGCUGAGAAACUGUGAGAAAAAGAAAGUAAAACUUUGAUUUUUAGACUCUUACUUUUUGACCCGCAAAGCCAAAAUCCCUGCUGACUGACUUGACAUUUGC